GGAUGACGAAGCUCCUGGCAGCCGCCUCUUCAGGUCCCUGGUGUUCCUCUCCUCGUGGAGGCGUUUGGCCCUCGGGAGCUUCCGUCGCGGGCCCAGCGGAGUCACUUUGAGCUCUGCUGCAUCCUGUCCAAGAACUUGAGCACAUGAACCCUAUUGCAGAAGGAGGAAAGACAAGAGGGCUGGGGAUGACAGCACUGUGAAGAUACAAAAGAGAGGAGCCUAAUUCAAGCAGCUAUUGUAACCAUGGGAGGAACAAGAGCAGAGAGACUUAGAAAAGACAAGGAAAUUAAAACUGUAGAAAGAGAGCAGAACCAGGCACUUACGAAUCACCUCUUCAGAAUUGUAGUAAACAGUUCCAAGUUCCCAUACACAUCUACAGCUUUUUAUAGACUUCGUAGCUUGCUACAACAGUGGCUGCUGUGUGGUGUCCUAUGCAGGGCCAGGCACUGUUCAUUGGCCUAGCAGUAUCUCACCUAGAUACAAGUGCACAUGACUCUUGGAACACAAGUCCCUCUGCAAGUGCUUAAA